UACGGAGGGUGCAAGCGUUAUCCGGAUUCACUGGGUUUAAAGGGUGCGUAGGUGGGCAGGUAAGUCAGUGGUGAAAUCUCCGGGCUUAACCCGGAAACUGCCGUUGAUACUAUCUGCCUUGAAUAUCGUGGAGAUGAGCGGAAUAUGUCAUGUAGCGGUGAAAUGCUUAGAUAUGACAUAGAACACCGAUUGCGAAGGCAGCUCGUUACACGGUUAUUGACACUGAGGCACGAAAGCGUGGGGAUCAAACAGG
rnacentral:rRNA from 1 species